GAGUUCGCAGCCGGAACGUUGCAGGCACUUGUUUCCUCAGUGGAUGCCUUUCGGCGCGCCGCCGCCCGGCGCCGCGGGACUGGGAGACCGGAUUUCUGAGAGAGCAGACACCAUCUUAUUUCUGUUGAAUUGUAUUUAGUAACUCAAAAGGCAUAUACCAAGCUGUCAGAAGCAGCUUCAUUUAAAAGGUAGAUGCCGGUAGAUUGGGCCCAGUAAGUUUGGGCCGUUGGGAUGUGAAAGGAAGAGAUGCGGGCAACUUUUUGGGUCAUCUUCUUAAAGAAAAAGCCAUUUGUCCUGGAUGCCCUCUUUUCUUUUUUCUCUUUGGCUGGGAAAUGACAAGAAUUAAAGCAGCAGCCUUGGAUCCAGAGAUGGACGCCAAUUGAUGAAGACAGCAGAACUGACUGGCUAGUCUGGGUUCCCUGGAGCAGAGCUGUCUCUCCACCCUAGGUUAUCCACUUACUUUU
rnacentral:lncRNA from 1 species